rnacentral:rRNA from 1 species
GAUGAACGCUGGCGGCGUGCCUAAUACAUGCAAGUCGAGCGAACAGAUGAGGAGCUUGCUCCUCUGACGUUAGCGGCGGACGUGUGAGUAACACGUGGAUAACCUACCUAUAAGACUGGUAUAACUUCGGGAAACCGGAGCUAAUACCGGAUAAUAUAUUGAACCGCAUGGUUCAAUAGUGAAAGACGGUUUUGCUGUCACUUAUAGAUGGAUCCGCGCCGCAUUAGCUAGUUGGUAAGGUAACGGCUUACCAAGGCAACGAUGCGUAGCCGACCUGAGAGGGUGAUCGGCAACACUGGAACUGAGACACGGUCCAGACUCCUACGGGAGGAAGCAGUAGGGAAUCUUCCGCAAUGGGCGAAAGCCUGACGGAGCAACGCCGAGUGAGUGAUGAAGGUCUUCGGAUCGUAAAACUCUGUUAUUAGGGAAGAACAAAUGUGUAAGUAACUAUGCACGUAUUGACGGUACCUAAUCAGAAAGCCACGGCUAACUACGUG